rnacentral:rRNA from 1 species
AUUGAACGCUGGCGGCAGGCUUAACACAUGCAAGUCGAGCGGAGAUGAGGUGCUUGCACCUUAUCUUAGCGGCGGACGGGUGAGUAAUGCUUAGGAAUCUGCCUAUUAGUGGGGGACAACAUUCCGAAAGGAAUGCUAAUACCGCAUACGUCCUACGGGAGAAAGCAGGGGAUCUUCGGACCUUGCGCUAAUAGAUGAGCCUAUGUCGGAUUAGCUAGUUGGUGGGGUAAAGGCCUACCAAGGCGACGAUCUGUAGCGGGUCUGAGAGGAUGAUCCGCCACACUGGGACUGAGACACGGCCCAGACUCCUACGGGAGGCAGCAGUGGGGAAUAUUGGACAAUGGGGGGAACCCUGAUCUAGCCAUGCCGCGUGUGUGAAGAAGGCCUUAUGGUUGUAAAGCACUUUAAGCGAGGAGGAGGCUACUGAGACUAAUACUCUUGGAUAGUGGACGUUACUCGCAGAAUAAGCACCGGCUAACUCUGUGCCAGCCGCCGCAGUAACAC